UACGUAGGGGGCGAGCGUUGUCCGGAAUCACUGGGCGUAAAGCGUCUGUAGGUGGUGAUGCAAGUCACUGGUGCAAAACUCUGGCUCAACCGGAGGAAAGCCAGUGAAACUGCAUGACUAGAGUGUGGGAGAGGUAGAAGGAAUUCCCUGAGUAGCGGUGAAAUGCGUAGAUACAGGGAAGAACACCGGAGGCGAAAGCGUUCUACUGGAACACAACUGACACUGAGAGACGAAAGCUAGGGGAGAGAAUGGG
rnacentral:rRNA from 1 species